GUGCUAGUUUUGGCAGCACACAUACUAAAAUUGUUAAUGACAGACAGAAGACUGAUUAGCAUGGCCCCAGUGUAAGGAUUACACAUUUGUGAAGCAUUCCAUAUUUUU